AUCAUGCAUAUAUGCAUGUAAAUUUUUGAGAAGCCAACUAGUCUUGAUGUUUCCUUGACUAUCUUGUAUUUUAUGGUGCCUGAUGCUGGAUGAUAGAUAUGAUUCAUUUCUUAGGUUCUUCUAACAUGUACUGAAGAUCGAGUUGCAAAGCCAUAUAACUGAAAAUAAAGUUCUCUCCUGCCUUUUUUACUUCGAAAAUGACGAUAAUACGAAAACCUAUAUUAUGUGUCGUCAAGUCUUGGCAUUAAUCAUGCAUGGUAAGAAUCAAUUUUGACAAUUGAUCAAGGGGCUUGGUAAUGCAGUUGUUUACUGACGUGGUUGUGACCUCACUUCCUAUAUUGGAAAUUUUGAUUCUUUGUUGCAUGAGUAUCUACGUAACCGAUCCUUUGUUGCAUGAGUAUCUACGUAAUUGAUCCUUCGUUGCAUGAGCAUCUACGUAAUUGAUCCUUUGUUCGUUGCAUGAGUAUCUAAGUAAUUUCUUCUCUGUUGCAUGAGUAUCUACGUAAUUGCUUCUUCGUUGCAUGAGUAUCUACGUAAUCAAGGUAACACAAGGUUGAAUAUUUAAUGUUGACUAUAUUUCAGUUCCGAAUUAAAUUUCCCAAAGGAAAACUGCUUCUCUUAAAACCAAAGAUCUCAUUGGUGAAUUCUUUUAAUGAUAUAGCUCACGAUAAGAAAAAGUUUGAAUUUGAUGUUGGAUCCAUUUUCCUCUGACCCAGGCUUUUUGUAUCUUUCAGGAUGAUUUUUGCAGCAUAUGAAAAUAGUUCUGUUUUCACUAAAUAUUUCUCUUCAGAUUCAUAUUUGUUUCCAUGUUUAAAUGUUCAUCAACUCUACUUGUCAUAUUCAUUGGUUUCUCAUUUUUAUGUGACAGGGAUGGUAAAAUCCCGGCCUCAUAUAUCCAAAAAUACCUUGCAAAGAAACUUAAUCUUGCCAGCGAAUCAGAGGUUGAGUUAAUGUGUCGUGGUCAGCCUGUGACGCCAGACCAGACAUUGGAUAGCUUGGUUGAUCUGUGGUCCCGAACUGCAUCAGCAUCGAAGAGGGUACCUGUCCAAGUGGGUUCGUCCGGAAAGGAUUUUGUGAUGGUUCUUUCAUACUGUAGGAAAGUCGAAUCUCCUUCCAACAGCAAAGCAGAGUAGAAACAGUCUUUUUUCUUUUCUAUGGAUCACCAUAGUUGGCCUCUGGUGCCAUUGGAUGUUUAUGGUUUUGGGAUUUCAUUUGACUAUAGAUGAACUUAUAUUUAUCAUUUGUUACCUGUAGGGUUUUUCAGUUUAUUCAAAUAAUUUUUCUCCA